GACGAACGCUGGCGGCGUGCUUAACACAUGCAAGUCGAACGGAAAGGCCCUGCUUUUGUGGGGUGCUCUAGUUGCGAACGGGUGAGUAACACGUGAGUAACCUGCCCUUGACUUUGGGAUAACUUCAGGAAACUGGGUCUAAUACCGGAUAGGAGCUCCUGCUGCAUGGUGGGGGUUGGUAAGUUUCGGCGGUUGGGGAUGGACUCGCGGCUUAUCAGCUUGUUGGUGGGGUAGUGGCUUACCAAGGCUUUGACGGGUAGCCGGCCUGAGAGGGUGACCGGCCACAUUGGGACUGAGCUACGGCCCAGACUCCUACGGGAGGCAGCAGUGCGGAAUAUUGCACAAUGGGCGGAAGCAUGAUGCAGCCAAGCAGCGUGCGGGAUGACGGCAUUCGGGUUGUAAACCGCUUUCGCCUGUGACGAAGCGUGAGUGACGGUAAUGGGUAAAGAAGCACCGGCUAACUACGUG
rnacentral:rRNA from 1 species